CAUUCUCUUAUACGAGGAGAGGCCACGCACUGUAGAGAAUUUUGGAACAUUGGCGCAAGCCUGAUCCAGCCAUUCCCGCGUUUAGAGUCUAAGGUGGUAAGCACUUAGCGGAAGAAAAGUAUGGGUAAAUACUAAUAACGUGACAUAACAUCAGAAUAAGACGCUAUCGUGCAGCAGCGCGGUAAUACGAAGGUCAGCGUAUCGAUACUGGGCGUAAAGCGCGCGUAGGUGGUUUAUUAAGUUGGAUGUGAAAUCCCCGGGCUCAACCUGGGAACUGCAUCCAAAACUGAUUCACUAGAGUACGAUAGAGGGAGGUAGAAUUCACAGUGUAGCGGUGGAAUGCGUAGAUAUUGUGAAGAAUACCAAUGGCGAAGGCAGCCUCCUGGAUCUGUACUGACACUGAGGUGCGAAAGCGUGGGUAGCGAACAGGAUUAGAUACCCUGGUAGUCCACGCCGUAAACGAUGUCAACUAGCUGUUGGGGAACUAUGUUCUUCAGUGGCGCAGCUAACGUAGUAAGUUGACCGCCUGGGGAGUACGGCCGCAAGGCUAAAACUCAAAUGAAUUGACGGGGACCCGCACAAGCGGUGGAGCAUGUGGUUUAAUUCGAUGCAACGCGAAAAACCUUACCUAUACUUGACAUACCUGGAAUGCUUUGUAAUGAAGUAGUGCCUUCGGGAGCCAGGAUACAGGUGCUGCAUGGCUGUCGUCAGCUCGUGUCGUGAGAUGUUCCGUUAAGUCGGAUAACGAGCGCAACCCUUACCCUUAUUUGCCAGCGAUUCGGUCGGGAACUAUAAGGGGACUGCCGGUGAUAAACCGGAGGAAGGUGAGGACGACGUCAAGUCAUCAUGGCCCUUACGUAUAGGGCUACACACGUGCUACAAUGGGGAAUACAGACGGACGCUAAGCCGCGAGGUGGUGCUAAUCCUAGAAAAUUCUUCGUAGUCCGGAUUGGAGUCUGCAACUCGACUCCAUGAAGUCGGAAUCGCUAGUAAUCGCGAAUCAGCAUGUCGCGGUGAAUACGUUCUCGGGUCUUGUACACACCGCCCGUCAUACCAUGGAAGUGGAUUGCACCAGAAGUAAAUAGUCUAACCUUCGGGAGGGCGUUUACCACGGUGUGCUUCAUGACUGGGGUAAAGUCGUAACAAGGUAACCGUA
rnacentral:rRNA from 1 species